UUCCGGCCACCGACGCUUUCGAUCAAGAUAUCUCGAGCUGUAGAGCUUCGUUUUGAGUGAUUCUUGAACCAGUGAGUUCGUCUUUAAGUUCUGAACAAGUCUCCUGAAGGAAUCGAAGCGAAAGGAGGACAUUUUUACGUUGAUCGGAGCUUCGCCAGUUUCUGCAAAUUCUCGCCGGUUUCUGGAAAAAUUCCGGCCACCUCGACUGUUUUAGGUGAUCGAUGGAUUUAUUUGGCGGACGAUUCGUGAGAUUGUUAAUUGAGCUGUUAAGAAGACGCAGCUGGAUCAGAGCGGAUAAUCCUACAGGACUGGAGAAUUCAGG